CUCCUGCUCCAGACAAUUGGAGGUGCCCUGAAUGUGUUAGCCCACUUAAUGAUAUUGAUAAGAUAUUAGACUGUGAGAUGCGCCCUACUGUAGCUGAUGACAGUGAUGCCACAAAACUGGGGUCAAAACAAAUUUUUGUCAAACAAUAUCUUGUUAAGUGGAAGGGGCUAUCAUAUCUCCAUUGCACAUGGGUGCCAGAAAAGGAGUUUCUGAAAGCCUUCAAAUUACAUCCUCGCCUAAAGACGAAAGUAAAUAACUUCCAUCGUCAAAUGUCAUCAGUUAAUACUUCUGAUGAAGACUAUGUUGCCAUUCGACCUGACUGGACAACUAUUGAUCGGAUUAUUGCU